rnacentral:rRNA from 1 species
UACGGAGGGGGCUAGCGUUGUUCGGAAUUACUGGGCGUAAAGCGCGCGUAGGCGGCUUUGUAAGUUAGAGGUGAAAGCCCGGAGCUCAACUCCGGAACUGCCUCUGAUACAGCACGUCUUGAGUCCGGAAGAGGUGGGUGGAAUUCCUAGUGUAGAGGUGAAAUUCGUAGAUAUUAGGAAGAACACCGGUGGCGAAGGCGGCCCACUGGUCCGGUACUGACGCUGGGGUGCGAAAGCGUGGGGAGCAAACAGG